UGGCACAGACAUUGGUAAUGAUGCUUGAAAAACCAACUCCUUCCAAAGUCCUCCUCAGAUUGUUUUGGCCCACGAGGCGCGGGAACCAACAAAGUCCAACCAUGGGUGUCCCAACCCUUGAAGGCUCCCCACCGAAGGAACCAGGAUAUAGUGCACUCGGGCUGCUGCUCCUUCAGGCCUACAACUAGUACUCUGGAGCCA
rnacentral:antisense_RNA from 1 species